rnacentral:rRNA from 1 species
CGCGUAGGCGGCGUGGUAAGUCACUUGUGAAAUCUCCGAGCUUAACUCGGAACGGCCAAGUGAUACUGCCGUGCUAGAGUGCAGAAGGGGCAAUCGGAAUUCUUGGUGUAGCGGUGAAAUGCGUAGAUAUCAAGAGGAACACCUGAGGUGAAGACGGGUUGCUGGGCUGACACUGACGCUGAAGCGCGAAAGCCAGGGGAGCAAACGGGAUUAGAUACCCCGGUAGUCCUGGCCCUAAACGAUGAAUACUUGGUGUCUGGAGUUAUUAUUGCUCCGGGUGCCGUCGCUAACGUUUUAAGUAUUCCGCCUGGGGAGUACGCUCGCAAGAGUGAA